GUUGAUGAGAGUAGAAGCUGAUCACUCAGUGAUGAUAUGACUGAUUUUAGAGGCACAAUAACCCAUUUCUAAAUCAACGGUUAUAAUCCAAAAUCAAGACCUAAUCUAACGGUGAGAAUUAAAUAUCAAAGAUUUGAUAUCUCUCACUAUCUCUAACGAGUCUCUUCAGUUUUCACUUCAGACUCUCAGUCUUAGAGUUCAGAUGGUCUUGGCUUCCCCUUCAUGCUUCCUCCCCUUUUCACUCUUCCUCACCUCUUCACUUCUUUAGUCUCAGUUCUCUACUUGGCUCUCUCAAACUCUCAUAGUCUCACUUCUCUAUUUAGUAUUUUGGUUCACUUUUCAACACUCACUAAAUAGUUUCCCCAAAUCCAAACCCUAGCCGCCUCCAAUGCCAUAGCCCACUCCCCUCUCCGCAUCCAAUGCCUAGCCAUCGCUGCCACUGUCCACUCCUCUCUCUGUAGCUACCGCUGGUGUUUAGUCCUCACCCCGCUGUUGUGUACUCUUCACUAAGUCAGUUCAUACUCCAAACGCUUAGGAUUGAGACUCCAAGUAGCGUUUUCUGCCUUCAAGUUUGAAACCCAUACACCCAUGGUUUUUUUUAAGGUGAUAUCACUGCAAACGCAUUGUGGUAGAGACUUAUUUCUUGCAUUUGAUUUUCAGGACUGACUUGAAGAAUUUAGAUCAUUUUCCAUUUCUGAUGUUGGACGAAUUUUCAGUUCAUGGGAACCUUCACUAAUGAACCCUCUAUCCAAACACCAGUUGUUACACAAGAUGAUGGUGCUAUUCCCACCCAAGUUGAAGCUUCUACUACUACCCAAGUUGAAGCAGUUGCUGUUGCUGAGUUGCCCACAGUUCCACCAUGCCAAGUGAGUAAUGACAGUUCUUGUUAGUAGUACUUGUAGUGGUAGGAAAAAGUCAGUUGUUUAGGGCCAUUUUGAAAAAGUAAAGAUAGGUAAGGGUGAUACUAGUAAAACUAAGGCUAUUUGUAAUUAUUGCCAAAAAUCGUAUAAUGCUGAUAGAAGAGUUGUGGUACUCGUAAUUUGUUAGCUUAUGUGCCAAUAUGUCCCAAGAACCCUAAUAGAGAAGAUCUAGUUAAAGGGCAGAAAACAUUAGCUUUUGAACCCAAAAAGGAUGGAGAAGAUGGGUUCCACCUUCUGUCGACAACCUUUUCUAUUGAGGCUUCUAGAAAAGCAUUGGCCAAAAUGAUUAUAAUUGAUGUGUUGCCUUUUAGGUAUGUCAAGGGGUUUGGGUUUAAGAAAUAUGUAAAUACCUUACAACCUAAGCUUCUAUUAAAGGAUAUCCCAUUUCGUCAAAUUGUUGAUAGAGAUGUGAUUGGCAUUUAUAAUAGUGAGAGAGAGAAGCUAAGGAAAUCCUUGAAGGGUUGUAGGGUGUGUCUCACUACGGACACAUGGAAUUCUAUUCAAAAUUUAAAUUAUAUGUGUCUCACAUGUCACUUUAUUGAUGAUGCUUGGAAAUUGCAUAAGAGAAUUUUAAAUUUUUGUUAAGUUGAAGACCACAAGGGGUGGACUAUAGGUAGAAAGAUUGAGAUGUCUUUGCGUGAGUGGGGGAUUGAUGGGAUAUUCACUUUGACAGUGGAUAAUGCUAGCUCAAAUUUAACAACAAUUAAAUUUUGCAAAGGGUGACUAAAGAUUGAAAUGGAACAGUUUUAGGAAAUGAGUUCAUGCACAUGAGGUGUUGUGCCCAUAUCCUUAAUCUCAUUGUGGGGGAGAGUUUGAAAGAGAUUGAUGCACUUGUUGCCAAGGUGCGUGUAGCUGUGAGCUAUGUGAAGUCCUCACCCAAUAGAAAUCAAAAAUUUAGGAGUUUUAUGGAAAGGUUAGGUAUGGAGUCCAAGAGUCUUCUUAGUGUAUAUGUACCUACUAGGUGGAACUUGACCUAUCUCAUGUUAGAAACUGCUGAAAAAUUUGAGAAAGUGUUCCUUUGAAUGGAUUUUGAAGAUGAUGGUCAUUCGUCAUACUUUAGGACCAAGGAAGAUAGUGGUGGUUUGGGAUCUCCUUGUAUGAGUGAUUUCCAAAGUUGUAGGGCAUUUGUGACUUUCUUAAGGGUUUUUUUUUUUUUUUAAUGCAACGAAGAAAUUCUCCGGUUCUUUGUACGUUACUUCAAAUGCCUUUUAUGAUGAGAUCUUUGUUAUUUAGGAGAGUAUUUCUAAUUUAGUUAAAUCCCAGAACACUUUCUUGAAAAACACAGCCAAAAACAUGCAAACUAAAUUUGAGAAGUAUUGGGGGGAAGGGGAAAAAAUUAAUCUUCUUUUGUAUGUGGCUGUGGUUCUUGAUCCACCAAAAAAAUUGAGGUUUUUGAAGUUUUCUUUUUUUGAAUUUAUGGGAAUGCAGUGGCAGAAGUGAUGGUUGAUAAGGUGAAAGAUCUUUUGUAUAAGUUGUAUAGUUUUUACUCUUCUAUUCAUUCACUAAAUGUGUAAGAACAAAGUGGGAGUGAGAGGACAGAAUUGGAAAGUGAUGCUAGUGAUCCAUAUGUGUUGGUUCACUUGCGAUAUGAACGUUUCUUGCAAUUUGAGCAAUUUGUAGGUUGUAGUAAUGAGGUGGAAAAGUAUUUGGCUGAAAACUGUGAUGGUAGAAAGGAUGUGAAUUUUGAGAUACUGGAGUGGUGGAGAGACAAUUGUAGUAGGUACCAAGUGUUGUCUAAAGUUACUAAGGAUGUGCUGGUUGUACCAGUUUCCACUAUUGCAUAUGAGUCAGCAUUUAGCACUGGAGGCCACAUUGUUGAUCCAUUUCGAAGUUCACUAUCUCCUUUCAUGGCUCAAAACCUUGUAUGUUCACAAAAUUGGCUUCAAGCCACAGUUCCAAUUUCUCAUUGCCAAUCAAGGGAUGAUGUAGAGGCAUUGGAGGAGGAGUUGCUUGACUUAGUUUUAAAUCAACAACCAACAGCAAGUGCAAUAGCAAAUACCAUCUUAAGCAAGGGUUCCACUUCAGGCAAACGACCCUUAAUUAGCAUUGAUGAUUAAUCACUAACUUGGAGGAUGGUCAUUUAUUUUGUAAAGAAGGCAGCUUUUUGGGAAUAUUUUGGAAGCUUUUUUGAAUGUAUCGCUUUUCUAACUUCUAGCAAUACUCAUCUGCCAAUGCAUAUAGAAAAGAAAUCUUAGUUCAUAGGUUUUCUUUUCUAUUAGUUAUAGACUUAUAAACUAUAGAGUAGUCAUUCAAUGCUUUGGGAAAGCUAUUUUUUGGAAAUACUUAUGGUAUUUGAUUAUUGUAACUAAUUAUAUUGCUUGGAACGUUUUAUAACUAGCAAGCUUUUUGCCUUA